GACCAGCAGGCCAGCCUCUUGCUGAUUCUCAGCUAGAAGCCACCCUCUGCUCCCAGAGGUCAUCCACAGCUCCCAGACGCCAUCAUAGCUUCCGGCAGGGUCACCUGCAGAAUGUCUGCAGCAGGAAGGAGUGUCCAUGUGCUCGCGCCCCCACAGGAGCAGCAUCUCAGAGUCAGGACUGGCCCUGGCUCCCGGGCCCCAGACGGUUCGGCCAGGUGCCGUCUUCGCUGGUGAAAACACCCCGUGCGGACCCAUCUUUGCGCUCCGAGGGCGUUGUCAGGAUGAAUUCGUAGACCUGGAAUGUCCUAUGCUUCCUUCGCUGGCCUGUUUCCGUCAUCCUCCCUGGGCCUCCGCGCCUCGGCUGCAGGCUCCAUCCCUCUCACGUCCAACCCCUCCCUCACGGCCUCCUGGGCCCCCGCUCCUCCGCGUUUCCAUGGCCAGGGCCAAGCCCUGACAUGUCCCGGACACCUUGACCUUGCAGGACAGUGGCCUCCAUCUGCCCCAGCUCGUGUCGUCUCUGCGUCCCCACAUGGCUCAGCUGGGCGGACCUCUCGCGGGGUGACCCCCCCAUGGCUGGCCGGCUGCGCCUGGCAGGUCUGACCGCAGGUUUCCUCAUGUGGAAAAUGGGACGGACACCCGUCUGCAGCCUGGCGGGCUGGCGGGAGACGGCCUGCGUGAAAUUGCCAGCACGGUGUCUGGCACAUUCCAAGAAUUCCCGAAUUACAGCCACUGCUACCCUUGUCAUUAGCAAUAGUAGCGAGAGAUGUUCGUUAAAUGAGUAAAUGGAAGGACAGGUGGAAGAAUAGUGUCUGUGCAGAAAUUCCUGAAGGUCGGAAGAGCGCAAACAAAAGGAGCAAGUCAACAAACCCCCGGGAGCGGCCGGCCCGUGCUCCAAUUAAUUUAACUUCCAUUAGCAACUCGUAGAAACGUCUGUUGUUCAAAAGUGAACGUGUCCCCUAUUAACCCAUUAGAGGGUCCCUCACAAGCCUUUCUGUAGAUCCUUCAUCUUUUCUCUUCCCCGAAGAAAGAGGGGGAAGGCCAAGGCUUUGGGGGGGGCAGAUGUCAGGGAUUUCAGUCUUAAACAUAAGAAUUAGCAACUAUCCCAAAUUUUAAGUGGAGGAUGAACGUUAUCCAUAUGGAUUUAAGUUCAAAAAUCUGGACGCAUGAGCUUGGAUGGUUGAUUAAAUGAUGCCUGCCCGCAUUUUCCCAGGCCUCCCCGUCUGUGCACGCGGUAAGGUGGCCGAUGCAGACGCUCAUGUAAUGGUGCUCACGGGGCGGCCCCCGUCCCGCAGAAGGUGAUGGGCAUGUGCUAGGGCGCUGCAGGGCACGGCCCGCCCCCUCCUCUCACACCAGCAGCUCCGUGUUCCCUAUUCCCAUCCUGUUUCCGGAGCCCGGGGUCGGGCACAGAGGGCCCUGCGGUGGGAAUCACUUCCAGGGGAAGCUGCAGGAGUCGACGGUGAGGACUUCCCCGGCUGUGACUCUUGGAGGCUGCUGAUGAGGGUGUGAAAAAUUCAAAGACAUGAUCUGCAUUUCACGUCCCCAAAUUUAUGAUGGCGAUGGCAGCAUGUUGAUGUGCAUGACUCCUUGUAGAUCUCCAGAAAUGAAUUUCCUGACAUUUUGCUCUUAAACAAAAUGUAUAUGUGUUGCCUGUCAAAAGCAGGUGAUUUGUAUGUUCUGAGAUUCGCAGGCUCCAGCAGCUAAUCUUCACCAGCAUUACCUGAUGGGCCAUUAUAGACAAGAUUUACUUGAUAUUUGUCCUUUCCCUAAAUCUGCACAUUUAUUUAAAAUCGUGUCCCGGGCUCUCCGUGGAGGAAUGGUCCUAGACCGAGCGGUCGCACACCUGGGCCGUUGCCCGGCAUUGAUUGCUCAGAAGAUGAUCGCCUCCACGGCGGCGAGUCGAGAGGGAGCUGCAGCUUCCUGCCCAG